GCGCGUGCGCAGUACGUUCCCCGCGCGCCGGGCCACGAGCGCUCGGUUUUCCCGCCGAAAAGGAGGAGAGGUGGGGGUGAGGGCAAGAUGGCGGCGGAGCCCACCCGUGAGGGGAGAGGGGGCUCCCGCCUCACGCAGCUGCCUCAGGGCGCCAUGGCCCCCUCCUGUGCGCUCAUGUGUACUCCUGUGUGCUCCCUGGUGCUCCUGUAAUAUAUGUACUCCUCUGUAUACUCCUGUACACCCCUGCACAGCAAACUGAGACUGUGUACUCCAGUGGACUUCUGUGCACUCAUGUGUGCUCCUGUAAUAUGUCCUCCUGUGUACUCCUGCACCACAAACCACAAGCGCUCUUCCCUCACUCUUGAGCCACCUGAGCUCCCCUUGAGCCACUUCCUGAGGCACAAAGAAUUGCAGUUCUCUGGCCCCUGUUACCCCCAGUGAGCCCCAGGAGUUUUUACUGUACUGUUGCAAAAUGUAGGAGAAAUUCUUUGCGAGGAGAGUCAUCAGACAUUGCAAUGGGCUGCCCAUCUAGAUAGAGGAUUCACCAUCCCUCGACUUGUUUAAGAGGCUGGAUGUGGCACUCAGAGCCAUGGUCUAGUAGUUGUCACUGUUUGAGGUUGAAUAGAUGUGAGUUUGCCAGGCAGAUUGUGUCAAGUGUGCUGGGAAUACUUAGGUAGAUUGGAGGUGGAUCUGCCUAGACAGAGCUGCAACAGUGUGAGUACCUCAGACUCCCUUAUUGAGGUUCCCUGGUGUGAUUUGAGGGUGUCACAGUUAACAGGAGAGGGGCUGGUUCAGGCACCAUACUGUCAGACUGGGCUCUUCUACUGGAACUGAAUUUUACUCUCCUGAAUAUCCCUUACACCCUCUUAAAAACACCAAUGGGAAGGUUUUUUCAGGAUUGUCAAGAAGGUAAGUGCAUUUUUGUUGAAGUAGCACCUUUCAAUCAUAACCAUGAGUGGAUUCCUCACAGAUUACUGACCUGUUAAUCACUCACAGAUCACUAACCAGCUUCACACAUGGUAAUCACACACAAUUCCUGACCAGCUAGCACACAAGUUAAUCACUGGUGAUUAACUGCAGAAAGGGCCUGAGUACCAGUAGCACUUUGGGCAGCUGAACACGUCAUCAACAGCUUAUUUCUAGUUGAAUGUAUUUAUAAAGUUAUAUGUUAAUAAAUACAAGUUCAUUUCUAGCAUAGCUCUUCUUUCUCAAGGAACUCAUCUAACAUCAAAAUAGGAAUUUGACAGUUAUCUGUAGCCCUUCUACAUCAAUUUUUAUGAUUCUCAGCUCCUUUUCAUGUCCAAAUUAGAUAUAACAGUCUUAACCAGGCAGUGGGAAAAAAAAAAGUCAAAAAACCUGGAAAGCUGUGAUGCAAAGUGUGUGGUGCAAAUGAUGUCAGGAGGAACCAGGCACUUACCCAGAGCUUUGAGAAAGGGCUCGAGGUUCUCCUGAGCGUAGACCUGCCAGGUCCCAGCGAAGGCCAUCGUGUGCCACGGGGUGAGGGCUCUC